rnacentral:pre_miRNA from 1 species
CUUAUACUCCCUUCGUCUGGAGUUACUUGUUGAGGAAAUGUGGAUGUAUCUAAAUGUAUUUUAGUUGCAGAUACAUUCAUUUUUAUCCAUUUCUACGACAAGUAAUUCUGGAUGGAGUACAUG